GGCUGGUCUGAUGGUAGUGGGUUAUCAGAACUUGUUAACAUUAGCGUCACUCAAGUUGCUAUACAACUCCCCACUGCUGAAUAUGACUGGCCUAAA
rnacentral:Y_RNA from 1 species